rnacentral:pre_miRNA from 1 species
AAAGUACUCCCUCCGUCCCAAAAUUCUUGUCUUAGAUUUGUCUAGAUACGGAUGUAUCAAGUCACAUUUUAGUAUUAGAUACAUCUAUAUCUAGACAAAUCUAAGACAAGAAAUUUGGGACAGAGGGAGUAGUUG